UUACGGCCAUAUCACGUUGAAACACCGGUUCCCGCACGAAUCACCGAAGUUAAGCAACGUCGAGGCUGGUCUGUAUCGAGAUAGGUAACCGCUUAGGAAUACCAAGUGC